GAUGCACUCACAGGUCUUCCAAAUAGUGCUUUAUUAAUCAAUAUCUAUAUGCAUCCUAUUGAUUAAUAAAGCACUAUUUGGAAGACCUGUGAGUGCAUC